GCUGGGUGUGGUGGCCCACACCUGUAAUCCCAGCUACUUGGGAGGCUGAGGCAGGAGAAUCACUUCAACCUGGGAGGUGGAGGUUGCAGUGAGCCAAGAUCACACCACUGCACUCUACCCUGGGGGACAGAGUGAGACUCUGUCUCAG
rnacentral:SRP_RNA from 2 species